GACGAACGCUGGCGGCGUGCCUAAUACAUGCAAGUCGAACGCAGUGGGGACGGGGGAGUAACACGUGGGUGACCUCCCAUCAGAGGGGAUAACACUUGGAAACAGGUGCUAAACCGAUACUGAUGGAUGGACCCGGGGUGCAUUAGCUAGUUGGUGGGGUAACGGCUCACCAAGGCCACGAUGCAUAGCCGACCGGAGAGGGUGACCGGCCACACUGGGACUGAGACACGGCCCAGACUCCUACGGGAGGCAGCAGUAGGGAAUAUUGCGCAAUGGACGAAAGUCUGACCGAGCAACGCCGCGUGUGUGAAGAAGGUGUUCGGGUCGUAAAGCUCUGUUGUCAGAGAAGCGGUAUCUAACGAGAAAGCCACGGCUAACUACGUGCCAGCAGCCGCGGUAAUUC
rnacentral:rRNA from 1 species